UACGGAGGAUCCAAGCGUUAUCCGGAUUUAUUGGGUUUAAAGGGUGCGUAGGUGGGCCUGUAAGUCAGUGGUGAAAUCUUCAAGCUUAACUUGGAAACUGCCAUUGAUACUAUAGGUCUUGAAUUACCUGGAGGUAAGCGGAAUAUGUCAUGUAGCGGUGAAAUGCUUAGAGAUGACAUAGAACACCCAUUGCGAAGGCAGCUUACUACGGAUUGAUUGACACUGAGGCACGAAAGCGUGGGGAUCAAACAGG
rnacentral:rRNA from 1 species